UCUGCCUUCAGUUUCAAGUCCUUGAGAACCACAUCACCUAUAAAAGAAUCGAAAGUUUGUAACAGGGGAUAACAGCAUAAAUUUAGGACGCCACACCUCUUCUUUUUUUUGACAAAUGAAGGUGAAAUUAGAUUGUAACAGGGGAUACCAGCACAACUUUAGGACACCAACCUUUUUAUGACAAAUGAAGGUGAAUUUAUUUUUUUUAAAAAGGAAGGAAACCAUGCAUUUCAAUAGAGUGCAACAAGGAUCCCAAAAUUCGCAAUAUUAUAAAAUGGUACACUUGUAACAUGGAAAUUAGAAACACCUACCUUUUAGACUGAAUUUUUCUCGUCAAGUCAAUACGCUAAAUACUCAUCAGAGAAAAAAAUCACCAGCCUUUCAAUUUGCAGCUAGUAUAACGUGAAUAAAGCAAUUGAAUCGGAUAUUUAAAAACCAAAUAGGAAAUAGAAAAAAUAUGAAUAUACCUUUCCAUACGCUGAUCCUCAAUGCCUCUGCCGACAAUCCAUGGACGUAUUCUCCAAGAUAUCUUCGAAGCAAAUGCAGAACCUACACCAUGUACAUAAUAUUGCUCAACAAAGCUAAUAUAAAAAUAAAAAUAAAAAAUAAGAGGAAAAAGAAGUAACAGCAACGAAACAUGACAUGAAUAAAU
rnacentral:lncRNA from 1 species